GAGGUUGAUCAUGGCUCAGAUUGAACGCUGGCGGCAGGCCUAACACAUGCAAGUCGAACGGUAACAGGAAGAAGCUUGCUUCUUUGCUGACGAGUGGCGGACGGGUGAGUAAUGUCUGGGAAACUGCCUGAUGGAGGGGGAUAACUACUGGAAACGGUAGCUAAUACCGCAUAACGUCGCAAGACCAAAGAGGGGGACCUUCGGGCCUCUUGCCAUCGGAUGUGCCCAGAUGGGAUUAGCUAGUAGGUGGGGUAACGGCUCACCUAGGCGACGAUCCCUAGCUGGUCUGAGAGGAUGACCAGCCACACUGGAACUGAGACACGGUCCAGACUCCUACGGGAGGCAGCAGUGGGGAAUAUUGCACAAUGGGCGCAAGCCUGAUGCAGCCAUGCCGCGUGUAUGAAGAAGGCCUUCGGGUUGUAAAGUACUUUCAGCGGGGAGGAAGGGAGUAAAGUUAAUACCUUUGCUCUUUGACGUUACCCGCAGAAGAAGCACCGGCUAACUCCGUGCCAGCAGCCGCGGUAAUACGGAGGGUGCAAGCGCUAAUCGGAAUUACUGGGCGUAAAGCGCACGCAGGCGGUUUGUUAAGUCAGAUGUGAAAUCCCCGGGCUCAACCUGGGAACUGCAUCUGAUACUGGCAAGCUUGAGUCUCGUAGAGGGGGGUAGAAUUCCAGGUGUAGCGGUGAAAUGCGUAGAGAUCUGGAGGAAUACCGGUGGCGAAGGCGGCCCCCUGGACGAAGACUGACGCUCAGGUGCGAAAGCGUGGGGAGCAAACAGGAUUAGAUACCCUGGUAGUCCACGCCGUAAACGAUGUCGACUUGGAGGUUGUGCCCUUGAGGCGUGGCUUCCGGAGCUAACGCGUUAAGUCGACCGCCUGGGGAGUACGGCCGCAAGGUUAAAACUCAAAUGAAUUGACGAGGGCCCGCACAAGCGGUGGAGCAUGUGGUUUAAUUCGAUGCAACGCGAAGAACCUUACCUGGUCUUGACAUCCACGGAAGUUUUCAGAGAUGAGAAUGUGCCUUCGGGAACCGUGAGACAGGUGCUGCAUGGCUGUCGUCAGCUCGUGUUGUGAAAUGUCGGGUUAAGUCCCGCAACGAGCGCAACCCUUAUCCUUUGUUGCCAGCGGUCCGGCCGGGAACUCAAAGGAGACUGCCAGUGAUAAACUGGAGGAAGGUGGGGAUGACGUCAAGUCAUCAUGGCCCUUACGACCAGGGCUACACACGUGCUACAAUGGCGCAUACAAAGAGAAGCGACCUCGCGAGAGCAAGCGGACCUCAUAAAGUGCGUCGUAGUCCGGAUUGGAGUCUGCAACUCGACUCCAUGAAGUCGGAAUCGCUAGUAAUCGUGGAUCAGAAUGCCACGGUGAAUACGUUCCCGGGCCUUGUACACACCGCCCGUCACACCAUGGGAGUGGGUUGCAAAAGAAGUAGGUAGCUUAACCUUCGGGAGGGCGCUUACCACUUUGUGAUUCAUGACUGGGGUGAAGUCGUAACGAGGUA
rnacentral:rRNA from 1 species